CCUACGGGAGGCAGCAGUGGGGAAUAUUGCACAAUGGGGGGAACCGUGAUGCAGCAACGCCGCGUGGGUGAAGAAGGACUACGGAAUGUAAAGCCCUGUCAGCAGGGAAGAAAAUGACGGUACCUGACCAAGAAGCCCCGGCUAACUACGUGCCAGCAGCCGCGGUCAUACGUAGGGGGCAAGAGUUAUCCGGAUUUACUGGGUGUAAAGGGAGCGUAGGAGGGAAGGCAAGUGUGGAGUGAAAGCCGGUGGCCCAACCACGGGACUGCUUUGGAAACUGUGUUGCUGGAGUGCAGGAGGGGUAAGCGGAAUUCCUAGUGUAGCGGUGAAAUGCGUAGAUAUUAGGAGGAACCCCGGUGGCGAAGGCGGCUUACUGGACUGUAACUGACGUUGAGGCUCGAAAGCGUGGGGAGCAAACAGGAUUAGAUACCCCAGUAGUC
rnacentral:rRNA from 1 species